UCAUUUUUUAAAAAAUCGUGAUUUUUAAGCCAGUCUCAUUAUUUUUAGGGGCCUGACUCAUGAUUAGUGAGCAGUUGGAAUUGGCAAUACUAUAUCAAAACUUACCGUCUUUACAUCAUUUUGCUAGGUGGAUACAGGCAAGAGUUUCUUCCUAACAAUCGUGUUGUGAGAUACCUGACAGCUAUCUCUAAAAUCACCCACCAAUGUCUGAGCAACAGAGCAACUUCACAGGACAAGGAAGGAGGACUCUUCCAACUAGAACUGAUCUGUCUUUAAUUUUGCAAAAUACCCACAUGCUAUAGUGAUGAGUGCUUUAGAAACACAUGUAACAACAACACGGUGAUGACUCCAGGCUUUCCUACAGAAUUCAUUAGAUCUAAUAUGGGAGCUAUCAACACACACACAGCUCAAAAAGAGUCAAUAUCACCUUGGUAUAACAAGUUUCUUUAUGGGGGGAUUUGUACGUCUCCCUUCCGUAAAACUCAUCCCCCACAUAUUUUGAAGAAAUUGGUUUUGCUCCAGAAAUGUGUGAAAUGCAGUAAUGUCUGCCAAAUAAACUUUGGGUAAAGAGAUUGAAGAGUGAUUGUUACACAUACUAAGUAUUCAAGCUGUUUAAAUGGAAUAUUAUCUAGAAUGCUAUCCUGCAGUAUCUGAGGGAUAAUCUCCACUACUUAUACUGUCCACCUUUCUGUGAGACCUUCUCCUAUUAAAGAAUUAUACUUUCUUUGGAGGGGGAGUACUUGUGGCACCUUAGAGACUAAC